rnacentral:sRNA from 1 species
GUCGUAUCGAUUAGAUUGGGAUACUCAUCAAAUAAUAUUGAAAACCGAGUACACUUCUCUUGCCAAUGGCGGGCCACAUCCCCACAAGGGAGCACCAUUGUGCCGGUGGAUUACAAAAGCAGAGAACACUCAAACCUUAUAAUAAAGGAGUUUUCAUCACAUCAUCGGUACGACCUUUU